rnacentral:lncRNA from 1 species
CUGGUCAAUCGACCCACGGUGGUGCUGGGGUGACAUACUCACCCAUUGGGUUUGCCCAUAUGGUAGGGAGGAGGAUGCCUAUUGUCCAAAUUCAUCCUCGAAUCGAAUAUUGGACAUAGAGUCUGGAAGGGGCAUCUGGUCCACCGACCCACGGUGGUGCUAGGAUGACGUACUGAUCUAUUGAGUUUGCCUAUAUGGUGAGAAGGAGGAUGCCUGUUGUCCAAAUUCAUUCCCAAAUUGAACAUUCUCCAACAGGAUCUGGAUCCUUAUGGUCA